UAUGUGGUGUAACGGACCACAUAGCCUAAGACGGGUACGGGCCUUGAAAGAGGGAGCCCGGAGAUGGACUCUGAGACAUUUAGUCCAGGCCCUACGGGGCGCAGCAGGCGCGAAAACUGUGCAAUGCGCGAAAGCGCGACACGGGAGCCUGAGUGCCUUAACACAGUUAAGGCUUUUCUCAUGCCUAAAAAAGCCUGAGGAAUAAGAGCU
rnacentral:rRNA from 1 species